rnacentral:rRNA from 1 species
UACGUAGGGCGCAAGCGUUAUCCGGAAUUAUUGGGCGUAAAGAGCUUGUAGGCGGUUUGUCGCGUCUGCCGUGAAAUUUCGAGGCUCAACCUCGAACUUGCGGUGGGUACGGGCAGACUAGAGUGUGGUAGGGGAGACUGGAAUUCCUGGUGUAGCGGUGAAAUGCGCAGAUAUCAGGAGGAACACCGAUGGCGAAGGCAGGUCUCUGGGCCACUACUGACGCUGAGAAGCGAAAGCAUGGGGAGCGAACAGG